rnacentral:rRNA from 1 species
UACGGAGGGUGCGAGCGUUGCUCGGAAUCACUGGGCGUAAAGCGUACGCAGGCUGUUUCGUAAGUCGGGUGUGAAAGCCCGGGGCUCAACCCCGGAAUUGCGCCCGAGACUGCGGGGCUUGAAUGCGGGAGAGGGAAGCGGAAUUCCUGGUGUAGAGGUGAAAUUCGUAGAUAUCAGGAGGAACACCGGUGGCGAAAGCGGCUUCCUGGCCCGACAUUGACGCUCAUGUACGAGAGCGUGGGGAGCAAACAGGAUUAGAUACCCCGGUAGUCC